rfam:Oryza nivara chromosome 8, whole genome shotgun sequence.
AAAAAGGGCAAACCCUGGGUUUCCGUACCAACGUUUGACUGUCCGUCUUAUAUGAAAUUUUUUUAUAAUUAGUAUUUUCAUUGUUGUUAGAUGAUAAAACAUGAUUAAUACUUUAUACAUAAAUUAUCUUUUUAAUUUUUUUCAUAAUUUUUUUAAAUAAGGCGGACGGUCAAACGUUGAGCACGGAAACUAAGGUUUGCCUUUUUU